GGUUAAGCGACUAAGCGUACACGGUGGAUGCCCUGGCAGUCAGAGGCGAUGAAGGACGUGCUAAUCUGCGAUAAGCGUCGGUAAGGUGAUAUGAACCGUUAUAACCGGCGAUUUCCGAAUGGGGAAACCCAGUGUGUUUCGACACACUAUCAUUAACUGAAUCCAUAGGUUAAUGAGGCGAACCGGGGGAACUGAAACAUCUAAGUACCCCGAGGAAAAGAAAUCAACCGAGAUUCCCCCAGUAGCGGCGAGCGAACGGGGAGGAGCCCAGAGUCUGAAUCAGUGUGUGUGUUAGUGGAAGCGUCUGGAAAGGCGCGCGAUACAGGGUGACAGCCCCGUACACAAAAAUGCACAUACUGUGAGCUCGAUGAGUAGGGCGGGACACGUGGUAUCCUGUCUGAAUAUGGGGGGACCAUCCUCCAAGGCUAAAUACUCCUGACUGACCGAUAGUGAACCAGUACCGUGAGGGAAAGGCGAAAAGAACCCCGGCGAGGGGAGUGAAAAAGAACCUGAAACCGUGUACGUACAAGCAGUGGGAGCCUCUUUUAUGGGGUGACUGCGUACCUUUUGUAUAAUGGGUCAGCGACUUAUAUUCUGUAGCAAGGUUAACCGAAUAGGGGAGCCGAAGG
rnacentral:rRNA from 1 species